rnacentral:lncRNA from 1 species
UCUCCUCUGCUGCCUGCCGUGCUCCCCUCGCGACGGAAUGCGCGCCUCCGCCGCCGCCACCGUGCAGCGCGCGGGUUCUUCGCCGUUGUUGCUUCUGCUGCCGGUGCCAGCAGCCACGGGCGCGCUGCCGCUGCUGCGGCCGUAGCAGCGAUGGAGGGGAGAGGACUACUCCCGAUACAAUUAGGAGAGCGGCUCAUUUGCGCGCGCGAUCAAUGCGAGACGCGCAACACGAGACCUAAAUCACGCUCCUCGGCCCGCCGCCGCUCCUUGGAUCGUAGCAGACGAAAAAUGUGCAACCGCAUGCGGAGCGCGGUGCGAGACCUCGCUGCCCUGGGGGCGAAACGGCGCGGUCGGUGACGCGUCGCGAUCAACGGCUGGCUGGCUGCUGCCCGACGAAGCGGCGGCUACGUGACAGCGCAGAGCAAGUGGCAGCUGGAUGGGCGCCCGGGAGAGUCACCGACAGCCGCGAACAAUGGCUCCUCUCGGGUGCGCAGUUGCCGUCGAGUUUCCUGUCCUCGGAACAGAGCUCUGCGUGGCUUGCAUGUAAAGAAGAACCUUGCUGACCGGUUCCAGACAACCAGUGAGCACCAUGAUCACCAAGGCAGUCACUUAGUAGGCUGCCGAGUAUGCAACAACUGAUGAUGAUCAAGCUGCUUUAUCACCAUCAGGUGACAACGCCAGGUGAGAACAUCAGGAGACUGUAGGAGACCUCCCACGUUCAGUAGAACCGGGGCUUACCCUGGGAUACUGUUUCGUAAAUAAACGUUUAUUGCUCCUC